UAAACCCUGCGAUGUGCGUGGGAAACUGGGAGUUUUGAGCCAACACCAAAACUAUUGGAGCCUGGACUCUGGUUGUGGCAUGUAGGCCUUGGUAACACAAGGAAACAUAAAGCAACCAGGAGGGCACCACCGUGCUAGAGCCAGGUUCAGAAACACCGGGUCCCACGGCAUUUGUGGGGUUUUU
rnacentral:other from 1 species